UACGAAGGGGGCUAGCGUUGUUCGGAAUUACUGGGCGUAAAGCGCCCGUAGGCGGUUUGUUAAGUCAGGGGUGAAAUCCUGGAGCUCAACUCCAGAACUGCCUUUGAUACUGGCAAUCUAGAGACUGGAAGAGGUGAGUGGAAUUCCCAGUGUAGAGGUGAAAUUCGUAGAUAUUGGGAAGAACACCAGUGGCGAAGGCGGCUAACUGGUCCAGAACUGACGCUGAGGUGCGAAAGCGUGGGGAGCAAACAGG
rnacentral:rRNA from 1 species